rnacentral:rRNA from 1 species
CGAAAGCCUGACGGAGCAAUACCGCGUGAGGGAGGAAGGCUCUUGGGUCGUAAACCUCUUUUCUCAGGGAAGAACACAAUGACGGUACCUGAGGAAUAAGCAUCGGCUAACUCCGUGCCAGCAGCCGCGGUAAUACGGAGGAUGCAAGCGUUAUCCGGAAUUAUUGGGCGUAAAGCGUCCGUAGGUGGUUAAUCAAGUCAGCUGUUAAAGAGCGGAGCUCAACUCCGUUAGAGCGGUUGAAACUGAUUGACUAGAGUUUGGUAGGGGUCGAGGGAAUUCCCAGUGUAGCGGUGAAAUGCGUAGAUAUUGGGAAGAACACCGGUGGCGAAAGCGCUCGACUGGGCCUGAACUGACACUGAGGGACGAAAGCUAGGGGAGCG